GACGAACGCUGGCGGCGUGCUUAACACAUGCAAGUCGAACGGAAAGGCCCUGCUUUUGUGGGGUGCUCGAGUGGCGAACGGGUGAGUAACACGUGAGUAACCUGCCCUUGACUUUGGGAUAACUUCAGGAAACUGGGGCUAAUACCAGAUAGGAGCUCCUGCUGCAUGGUGGGGGUUGGAAAGUUUCGGCGGUUGGGGAUGGACUCGCGGCUUAUCAGCUUGUUGGUGGGGUAGUGGCUUACCAAGGCUUUGGCGGGUAGCCGGCCUGAGAGGGUGACCGGCCACAUUGGGACUGAGAUACGGCCCAGACUCCUACGGGAGGCAGCAGUGGGGAAUAUUGCACAAUGGGCGGAAGCCUGAUGCAGCAACGCCGCGUGCGGGAUGACGGCCUUCGGGUUGUAAACCGCUUUCGCCUGUGACGAAGCGUGAGUGACGGUAAUGGGUAAAGAAGCACCGGCUAACUACGUG
rnacentral:rRNA from 1 species